rnacentral:rRNA from 1 species
AUUGAACGCUGGCGGAAUGCUUUACACAUGCAAGUCGAACGGCAGCACGGGGCAACCUGGUGGCGAGUGGCGAACGGGUGAGUAAUACAUCGGAACGUGCCCAAUCGUGGGGGAUAACGUAGCGAAAGUUACGCUAAUACCGCAUACGAUCUACGGAUGAAAGCGGGGGAUCGCAAGACCUCGCGCGAAUGGAGCGGCCGAUGUCAGAUUAGGUAGUUGGUGGGGUAAAGGCUCACCAAGCCGACGAUCUGUAGCUGGUCUGAGAGGACGACCAGCCACACUGGGACUGAGACACGGCCCAGACUCCUACGGGAGGCAGCAGUGGGGAAUUUUGGACAAUGGGCGCAGGCCUGAUCCAGCCAUUCCGCGUGCAGGAUGAAGGCCUUCGGGUUGUAAACUGCUUUUGUACGGAGCGAAAAGGCUCUCUCUAAUACAGGGGGCUCAUGACGGUACCGUAAGAAUAAGCACCGGCUAACUACGUGCCAGCCGCCGCCGUAAGAC